AUGUUUGCUUUCACUUCAAUGGGUGCUAAAAUUGAUCACUCACUGGAUAGCACCCGUGGUCCUAAAAUCUUUAAAAUAAGUGGGAAGGUAUCUCACUGUCUUGGUUCAUUGUUGCCCAAAGGUAGUGAUACUCCUAAGUUUGCUGAACUAUAUAUACAUGAUCCGGCUAAUGAGAUUACACAUAGGAUAAAUACCUUGAAUCCCAAUGAUAAACCGGUAGGAGCUGUGGAUGAGAGCAUUGUCGUUGGUCUUAGAGACAUGCUGGAUGAGUUUAACCCACUGGUACAAACCUUUAGGGAGGCAAGCAAGCUAAUAGAGGAUUGUGGUGACGAACCCAUCGAGGAUAUUUCCAUUCGUAUUAUUGGUCCUUCAGAUGGUGAUAGUCCACAAUUUAGCUUACCUACCGCCACUAGACUUGCUGCUUUGGUUGUUAAUGACUUCACAUUAGAGACGUCUGCACGGGAUAUUAUUGUUUCUAGCCGGUCAGAGGGUCUACAGCAGAUCUCUUCUUUGAACAUGACAUUUAUGUCUUUGCAGUACCAGUUGCUUUUCCCCUAUGGAGAGAGAGGGUUCCAAAUAGAUGUUCCACACUUGAUUGUUCCUCGGGACGGUGAUGAUGAUAUGCAUGUUGAUCCUGUAGCUGAGGCAUCUCCUUUAGAUGCCUCAAGUAGCCAGUCUCCCGGUGGUAGUAGGAAUAGAAUGACAAUGCAGGAUUAUUACCGCUUUAUGUGUCAUUACAAAGGUGAUCAGCCCAAUCCAUAUUUGUGCUAUGGUCUUCUAUCCUCUCAGUCGGUCGUUGAUGCACAUGUGUGCAUCGACGAGAACAGGUUGUGGUAUAUACUCAGAAAUCAGGAUAUGCUUAGGUCUGAGCACAUGUAG
rnacentral:rRNA from 1 species